AUGCAGCACCGCGCCAGGCAAUUGAGAACAAAGUCACCAAUGUCCUCGCUCCCUGUACGCCGACCACAUGUUCGAUGCAAUGCCCAAGCCGCACCGAUGCAAUGCCCAAGCCGCACCGUCACCAUGUCAGUGACAGCUCCAGCCGCAACAUCAGCUUCGUCAAAGGUCAUCGUCGAUGUCGUUCCCGAGCUCUGCUGCCUUGACCUUAAACCAUCUGAUGUCCUCAAGCUUGUCAGAACGCCGCCCAAGUGUUCGACAGAAGUUCUGUAUGACGGCCCUGUGGUCAUGACUGAGCAGCAGGACCACUCCAGGGAAUAUGAACAUUCAGUACAAGAUGCCAACAUGCCAUGUGUGCUUCAUGUCAUCAAUAGUUGUGAGUUCCCUGUAACUACCAACCAGGUCAAAACUGCGGCCCUUCGCCCAGCUAAAUCAAUCAUGGAGCACAAGCUAAUUGGUGUGGAGUCACUGCACACAUCGUGGACUCCAGCGAGGAGCACAACUUUUAGAAUGUUCAAUGUGCAAGGUACAUUGUAUGUUAUGCAGUUAUCAGGGAAAUUGCAAGAGUUGGAAACUGUGGAACCUACAGGGAGUGCACCUCUCACUGUGAUUUAUAGUGUUCCUGGAGUUCAAACGGCACGGCUGAAUCCAACUAUAUUCAAGUGGUCAGAUCUUUUUUGUUUUGCCACACAAUUUCUUAGUGCAGGCACUCUUGAUUUAUUACUAGCGAAGCGAGAUGCACCUACUGUGAUUGGGAGUUUGUCCUGUGAGAUUCAGAGCAAGGGAAUAAUAGCAGAGAGACCAUAUUGGCAAUUUAUUGCAGAAAACUGA
rnacentral:rRNA from 1 species